GACGAACGCUGGCGGCGUGCCUAAUACAUGCAAGUCGAGCGCAGGAAGUCGACGGAACCCUUCGGGGGGAAGUCGACGGAAUGAGCGGCGGACGGGUGAGUAACACGUAAAGAACCUGCCCUCAGGUCUGGGAUAACCACGAGAAAUCGGGGCUAAUACCGGAUGGGUCAUCGGACCGCAUGGUCCGAGGAUGAAAGGCGCUCCGGCGUCGCCUGGGGAUGGCUUUGCGGUGCAUUAGCUAGUUGGUGGGGUAAUGGCCCACCAAGGCGACGAUGCAUAGCCGACCUGAGAGGGUGAUCGGCCACACUGGGACUGAGACACGGCCCAGACUCCUACGGGAGGCAGCAGUAGGGAAUCUUCCACAAUGGACGAAAGUCUGAUGGAGCAACGCCGCGUGAACGAUGAAGGCCUUCGGGUCGUAAAGUUCUGUUGUAAGGGAAGAACAAGUGCCGCAGGCAAUGGCGGCACCUUGACGGUACCUCGCGAGAAAGCCACGGCUAACUACGUGCCAGCAGCCGCGGUAAUAC
rnacentral:rRNA from 1 species